AAGGGUAUAGCUCAGUGGUAGAGUGUGUGCUUAGCAUGCAUGAGGUCUUGGGUUCAAUCCCCAGUACCUCUG
rnacentral:tRNA from 1 species